GGGUAUAGGGGAUCAACUCCCAACCCUUUGUGACCUUACCUAUCGUUGCUUCGGCGGGAUCGCCCCGGGCCGCCCCUCGCGGGGCCUCCGGACCACGGCGCCCGCCGGAGGACCCAAACUCUUUGUUUUCAUGGUUUUCUCCUCUGAGUGGAUUAUAAACAAAUAAAUCAAAACUUUCAACAACGGAUCUCUUGGUUCUGGCAUCGAUGAAGAACGCAGCGAAAUGCGAUAAGUAAUGUGAAUUGCAGAAUUCAGUGAAUCAUCGAAUCUUUGAACGCACAUUGCGCCCGCCAGUAUUCUGGCGGGCAUGCCUGUUCGAGCGUCAUUUCAACCCUCAGGCCCCCAGUGCCUGGCGUUGGAGAUCGGCCGUACGGCCGCGGCCCCCGCUGGGGGUUCGCGCGCCGGGCCGGCUCCGAAAUCUAGUGGCGGUCUCGCUGUAGUCCUCCUCUGCGUAGUAGCACAACCUCGCAGUUGGAACGCGGCGGUGGCCAUGCCGUUAAACACCCCACUUCUGAAAGUUGACCUCGGAUCAGGUAGGAAUACCCGCUGAACUUAAGCAUAUCAAUAAGGCGGAGGAAGAGUUUACACACUCAAACCUUUUGUGAAACGUUACUAUCGUUGCAUCGCGGGAUGGCCCGGGCCGCCCCUCGCAGGGACCUCCGGACACGGAGCCGCGGGAGGACAGACUCUUUGAUUUCUGGGUUUUCUCUCGGACGUGGAUUAUAAAAAAUAAAUCAAAUUUCAACGUAUCUCUGUCUCUGGCAUCAUGAAAAAGCGCAAAAGCAUAAAUUAACGUGAUAUUGCGGAAUUCAAUGAAAUCUCAAAACUCUAAC
rnacentral:rRNA from 1 species